rnacentral:rRNA from 1 species
GACGAACGCUGGCGGCGUGCUUAACACAUGCAAGUCGAACGGAAAGGCCCUGCUUUUGUGGGGUGCUCGAUUGGCGAACGGGUGAGUAACACGUGAGUAACCUGCCCUUGACUUUGGGAUAACUUCAGGAAACUGGGGCUAAUACCGGAUAGGAGCUCCUGCUGCAUGGUGGGGGUUGGAAAGUUUCGGCGGUUGGGGGUGGACUCGCGGCUUAUCAGCUUGUUGGUGGGGUAGUGGCUUACCAAGGCUUUGACGGGUAGCCGGCCUGAGAGGGUGACCGGCCACAUUGGGACUGAGAUACGGCCCAGACUCCUACGGGAGGCAGCAGUGGGGAAUAUUGCACAAUGGGCGGAAGCCUGAUGCAGCAACGCCGCGUGCGGGAUGACGGCCUUCGGGUUGUAAACCGCUUUCGCCUGUGACGAAGCGUGAGUGACGGUAAUGGGUAAAGAAGCACCGGCUAACUACGUG